CUUCUACUAGCAAUCUCGCUACAAUUUUUAAGUUUCCUCCUUUUUUGUAUGCUGAUACAUUUAAAAAAAUUAAUGAAAUUAAAAUGACACACAUACCACUCACAGCACAGUCACAUUAUGACUGAAAACAUGUUUAUUUAUGUACAAUUAAACAGUUUUGGAGACAUAUCACAGUAAUAUGCAACACACCGGUUGAGAAUUACUGCUUUGGGGACAGGACUGUAUUUAUGAUUUUGGGGCAUAUUGGCAACAAUAUUUUGGCACCUCCGGCUUUGCUUAUGAUUAAUUUUUUAACUAUUUAAAUAAUUAUACUAAUUAUAGGGAUUCGUGGUAUCUAAUUUAGUAUUUAGAUAAAAAACAAACCAUUCAAAAAUUUAAAAAGACAGACAUACUUUGUAAGGCACUGUUGUAGAUGGGAAGCUGGGAAUGUAGGAUACAGGCAGGAAUUUAAUGUAUAUCUGUAAGCAACUAUAAAUCAUUGCUAACGAAAAACAAUUCUGAGUGCAGUUCAGUUGAUAGUGAUAAUUUGUCAAUAAAACAUAAUUCAUAUUAUGGUAAAAUAAUUAAAUAGGCA